rnacentral:rRNA from 1 species
UACGUAGGGGGCUAGCGUUGUCCGGAUUUAUUGGGCGUAAAGAGCUCGUAGGCGGCUUGUCGCGUCGUCCGUGAAAACCCACAGCUCAACUGUGGGCUUGCGGUCGAUACGGGCAGGCUAGAGUUCGGUAGGGGAGACUGGAAUUCCUGGUGUAGCGGUGAAAUGCGCAGAUAUCAGGAGGAACACCGGUGGCGAAGGCGGGUCUCUGGGCCGAUACUGACGCUGAGGAGCGAAAGCGUGGGGAGCGAACAGG